rfam:Nannochloropsis gaditana CCMP526 unplaced genomic scaffold scaffold187, whole genome shotgun sequence.
GCCUCGAUAGCUCAGUUGGGAGAGCGCACGACUGAAGAUCGUGCGGUCAGGUGUUCAAUCCACCUUCGAGGCA